UGUCACCAGCACUGGGGCGGCACUGAGGUGACACCAGCCCCUCCUGCGCCACAGGGGCCGUGCCAGGGGAGGGAGGGAGGGCGGGCGGGAGCGCAGGAUGGGGACAGGCGGGUGGCACUUACUCUGCUGUAUGGACUUGAGGGCGCGGAGGACGGUGGCGGCCAGGAGGAAGCCGCAGCCGGGCUGGUGGAAGCGGAGCCCGCCGGCAACGCUGCAGGCGGCCCCGGCACAGACGGGCCCCAUGGCGACGUACUGCAGCGGGUGGUGCCGCCGGCCCCCCAGCAGCCCCGACAGCAGCAGGGUGACCAGCGGGGUGGUGGUGGCCACCGCCUGUGCCACGUCCAGCUGCACGUAGCUCAAGCCCAGGUUGCCCAAUGCCACACUGGUGCUGAAGGUGAGGCUGAGCAGGUAGAUCCUGGCGCGGGGCCGGGGGGCCGGCGGCGACGGUCCCCGCACCCAGCCCAGCGGGUAGCCCACGGCCACCCCCGACAGCAUGUGGAGGGACGACAGCAGCAGCGGGUAGCGGAAACCGUGGGUGGCAAAGAUCCAUUUGUUGAGGCUGGCCAUGGUGGUGCCGGUGCCCAGCCAGGCCAGGACGGUGAGGGUCAGGGGCAGCGACGGCCCCGGGGGCGGCCGACCCCCUUCUGCCUGCCCCGGGUCAGGUUUCCAGGGCCGGAGGNUGGUGCCGGUGCCCAGCCAGGCCAGGACGGUGAGGGUCAGGGGCAGCGACGGCCCCGGGGGCGGCCGACCCCCUUCUGCCUGCCCCGGGUCAGGUUUCCAGGGCCGGAGGGUCCCCUCGCCGGCCGUCAUCGCCGCUUCAUCGCCCCGCCGGGACCGCAGGCACAUGGGCACCGGCUCCGCUCUCCCCCGCUGCCACUCGCCGCUCUGCCCCGUCCUCCCGCGUCGUGCCGAAAGCCGCCGGCCCUGGGAGUCGGUGGCGGUGGUGACGGCGGUGACGGCGGUAGCGGGUCCCCAGCUCCUGCCGGCAGCGGCGGUGGCGUCACCCGCUCCGGGGGUGGUGGCAGGGCUCAGCCUCGGGGUGCUGGUGCCAUGUGCGAGGGAGGCAGCGCCGGCGGCCGGGAGCGAGCGGAAAGUUUGGUGAUGGCGGGGAGCAGAGGGAGGGAGGCUCCUCCCCGCGGGGCCGCCGCCGCGUCACAGCCGCCCGUGCGGGUGUGUGGGGGUACGGGGGUGCGGGGGGGUGCGGGGGUGCGUGUGGGGCGCACGCCCGGGG
rnacentral:lncRNA from 1 species